rnacentral:rRNA from 1 species
UACAGAGGGGGCGAGCGUUGUUCGGAAUUACUGGGCGUAAAGCGCACGUAGGCGGAUCGUUAAGUCGGGGGUGAAAUCCUGGAGCUCAACUCCAGAACUGCCUUCGAUACUGGCGAUCUUGAGUCCGGAAGAGGUGAGUGGAAUUCCUAGUGUAGAGGUGGAAUUCGUAGAUAUUAGGAAGAACACCAGUGGCGAAGGCGGCUCACUAGUCCGGUACUGACGCUGAGGUGCGAAAGCGUGGGGAGCAAACAGG